rnacentral:lncRNA from 1 species
AGACUGGAGUGCAGUGGCGCAAUCUCGGCUCACUGCAAGCUCUGUCUUCCGGGUUCAUGCCAUUCUCCUGCCUCAGCCUCCUGAGUAGCUGGGACUACAGGCGCCCGCCAUUACGCCCGGCUAAUUUUAUUUUAUUUUAUUUUUAGUAGAGACAGGGUUUCACUGUGUUAGCCAGGAUGGUCUGUGUCUCCUGACCUCGUGAUCCACCCGCCUCGGCCUCCCAAAGUGCUGGGAUUACAAAAUGCGUGAGCCACCACGCCCGGCUGAUGGUUUUAUUAAUAUAAGGGACUUUAACCCUUUGCUCAGGACUUCUACUUGCUGCUGCCAUGUGAAGAAGGACAUAUUUGCUUCCCCUUUCACCAUGAUUGUAAGUUUCCUGAGGCCUCCCCAGCCCUGCAGAACUGAUCCCAUCCAGAAUACAUUACCUUUAGUCAUCAUGUCUCCUGUGGCUCUUCUUGGCUGUGACAGUUUCUCAGCUUUCCCAGUUUUAAUGAACUUGCCAUUUUCAUCAGAUUGUACCAAGACCUACUAUCAAUAUGACUUAUGACUAGUGGUGCUGACCUUGAUCACCUGGCUGAGGUAGUUCUUGUCAGGCUUCUCCACUGUCGAGUUGCUCUCCCCAUCCCCCUUUUCCAUAUUGUACUCUUUGAAAGAAAGUCACUAUAUGCAGCCCUUCCUUAAAAAUAUUAAAAUGAACUAGCUUAAUUAAGUUCUUUCUUACAUUUAGGUGUAAAUACCUCUGAGGUUUUUUUCUUUUAAAAAAUGAUUAUCUAUGUAAUACAUACUCACUGCACAAGACUUUAAAAAUGCAAGAAAAGUAUAAAGCAGCAGCAAAUAGAAC